AUUGGCCUACGGGACGCAGCAGUGGGGAAUAUUGCACAAUGGGGGAAACCCUGAUGCAGCGACGCCGCGUAGGUGACGAAGUAUUUCGGUAUGUAAAGCCCUAUCAGCAGGGAAGAAGAUGACAGUACCUGACCAAGAAGCCCCGGCUAACUACGUGCCAGCAGCCGCGGUAAUACGUAGGGGGCAAGCGUUAUCCGGAUUUACUGGGUGUAAAGGGAGCGUAGGUGGCAUGGCAAGCCAGAAGUGAAAACCCGGGGCUUAACCCCGCGGAGUGCUUUUGGAACUGUCAGGCUGGAGUGCAGGAG
rnacentral:rRNA from 1 species